rnacentral:rRNA from 1 species
UACGUAGGGACCGAGCGUUUGUCCGGAAUCAUUGGGCGUAAAGAGCGUGUAGGCGGCCUUUUUAAGUCCUGCGUGAAAAUCCUGCGGCUCAACCGCAGACGGUCGUGGGAAACUGGAAGGCUAGAGUGCGGGGAGAGGAGAGUGGAAUUCCCGGUGUAGCGGUGAAAUGCGCAGAUAUCGGGAAGAACACCCCGUGGCGAAGGCGGCUCUCUGGAACGCAACUGACGCUGAGACGCGAAAGCGUGGGGAGCAAACAGG